rnacentral:pre_miRNA from 1 species
AACCAGAGCAGACUGGCGUGGCCCAGGCAUCUCUGGGCGAGUAUCUCUUUGAGCACCUCACUCUGAAGCACUACUAGGCCU